AUGCAAUGAAGCUCCGGCCCAAGAUAGACAUACGCUAGAAUCUUCCUGCCCAGCAGGACAAAGUUGACGGGGUUGUCGGUGAGUUCUCCGCUCUGAACACCAGGCCUUCUUCAGUCCUCUCCUGGAAUAGUCUCAGGCUCCAGUGGAGAAGCAGAGUUUGGAUCAUAAUGGCAAGGUCACUGGGAGAGAAGGGGAGAGUGGCUGGGGAGAGCAGCUGGGCCCCUGGAAACCGCUCAGCAAGAGCUGUGCUGCUAACUGCAUCCUCAGCGGGAGAAGGAAUGUCUUUGACACAGCAGUGAGCUGCCAGCAGCUUAGAUCCUGGCCUCAGCCAACAAGGAGCUUGAAAAGUGUCACCACGAAUACACAGCUGGGAAGCUAUGGGGAAAGCAAGGCCAAGGUGGUAACGCACACGUCCUGGAACUUGCCGAGUCAUCCAGACUGGCCUGGAACUCACUGCAGCCCCUGCUGCUUCUCCAGUCUUCAGUGGAGUCCUAAGUGCAGGCCUGGCCCCUGCUUUGUCCGUGACUUCCACCAGAAGCUCUGGGAAGGCGUUGUGGGUGUGUUUGUCCCUAUAAAGGAGCUGCACAAACCA